rnacentral:rRNA from 1 species
UACAGAGGUCCCAAGCGUUGUUCGGAUUCACUGGGCGUAAAGGGUGCGUAGGCGGUCGAGUAAGUCUGACGUGAAAUCUCCGGGCCUAACCCGGAAACUGCGUUGGAAACUACUUGGCUAGAGGAAUGGAGGGGAGACUGGAAUACUUGGUGUAGCAGUGAAAUGCGUAGAUAUCAAGUGGAACACCAGUGGCAAAGGCGAGUCUCUGGACAUUUCCUGACGCUGAGGCACGAAAGCCAGGGGAGCAAACGGG